GACGAACGCUGGCGGCGUGCUUAACACAUGCAAGUCGAACGAAGUGGCAAACGGGGGAGUAACGCGUAAUCAACCUGCCCUUCAGAGGGGGACAACAGGUGGAAACGACUGCUAAUAACGCAUACUGAAGGAGGGGAUUGCGUCGGAUUAGCUAGUUGGAGGGGUAACGGCCCACCAAGGCGAUGAUCAGUAGCCGGUCUGAGAGUAUGAACGGCCACAUUGGGACUGGUACACGGCCCAGACUCCUACGGGAGGCAGCAGUGGGGAAUCUUCCGCAAUGGACGAAAGUCUGACGGAGCAACGCCGCGUGAGUGAUGACGGCCUUCGGGUUGUAAAGCUCUGUUAAUCGGGACGCGGUACCGGAAUAGAAAGCCACGGCUAACUACGUGCCAGCAGCCGCGGUAAUAC
rnacentral:rRNA from 1 species